rnacentral:rRNA from 1 species
UACGUAGGGUGCGAGCGUUGUCCGGAAUUAUUGGGCGUAAAGGGCUCGUAGGUGGCCAACUAAGUCAGACGUGAAAUCCCUCGGCUUAACCGGGGAACUGCGUCUGAUACUGGAUGGCUUGAGUUUGGGAGAGGGACGCGGAAUUCCAGGUGUAGCGGUGAAAUGCGUAGAUAUCUGGAGGAACACCGGUGGCGAAGGCGGCGUCCUGGACCAACACUGACACUGAGGAGCGAAAGCCAGGGGAGCAAACGGG